CACCUUUAAAAGUGAAAGUUUCCAGAGUUUGGUGGCUCUGCACCAUGAAAGAGGCUAAAAACACAGGAUGCAGAAUGCAGGGCCUUGUCUGAAGAAAAGCAAGGGGUUAAAAUCCCUGAACUCUCUUCCCUGGACACAUUCACAGCAUCCGGUGUGUCCAACCAUUAAAUCCUGUCCUCAUCUCUGCUAAGACAGACGGAUAGCCAGACGAGCCAAUCACAGCCUACAGCUGCCCCACAGCCAUCCAAUAGCAGUCCAGGAAAGGAGCAGGAGAUUACUGGAUCACACAGCUUGGGUUUGUAGCAUCCUUGUAGCUCUUCUCGUUUCGCCCUUUGAAUAAAAUGCUAUGAAAGAAAACCAGAAGACAGCUGAGAAGCAAGAAACGAGACGUGAUUUUGUACAGAGGGAGAAUGUGGUGAAAGUAGGGACCCAGAGGGGGAAAAACCUUUCAGUUUACAGCCUCUCAGCUGCUCUGUUCUAGCUGAGGAACGAAGGAGGAGGGGUGAAAGGAGAAAUUCCCUCUCCUUUUUUCCAUCGGCUGCCUGGAAAACCUUGGAAGGACAUCAGCCGUGGCCACAUCUCUCCACGAAUAGGAUUCUUAGGAGUUUAGGAUCAACAUGAGCAUCAUGGCCGAGGUCUGCUGGAGGUCUGAAUCACAGUAGGGUUGUCUUCAAAAAGCACCCGGCUCGCCUCCACAACGGUGUCCUGCAAGAACCAUGUCUCUGACCACCACCAAACCUGAUAUGUUCACCUCCACCCAAACCCUGACCCCGUUCCCGACCCCCACUCUCUCCCUCACCGCCUUCACUCCUAUUCUCACAAGUUCAGCAGAGCCCAGAACUGAGCCAGAAAACGUAACGUCCAGGACCACCUUCCGCUCCAUCACGUCGUCCGCCAACGAGACCGGCCUGAACUCCACACAGCUGCCCAUGGCUUCAGUGGGAGGCGCCGGAAUGGGGAUGGUGCUCGUGCCCUUUGGUAUCAUCACAGUUAUUGGGCUGGCUGUUGUCGUGCUUCUGUACAUCAGGAAAAAGAAAAGACUGGAGAAACUGAGACACCAGCUGAUGCCCAUGUAUAACUUUGAUCCAGCUGAAGAACAAGAUGAUCUAGAGCAGGAACUCUUGGAUCACGGACGAGACGGAAGCCCAGUAGGACCAAACUCCAAAGUAAGAGCACAACACCACACGGUUCAAAGGCAAAGACAUACAAACCAUCGAAAAUGUUGCUGAUUCUAAACUAAAAUGGUUAUUUAUUAUUAUUUUUUAGAUUGAUAGACUGAUUGAUGGAUAGAUUGAUAGAUUUUGUGAGACCUGAAGGAGUUUUCUAACUGUUGUAACGUUUAUGUGAAAUAUCUAAUUCAGGAAUUUUGUAUGAUCCCUCUUAUUUUGUUAAAGUAAGAUACUGCACUAUAUACAGAUACUGCAAACUGUAUAAUAUAUAAUGAUAAUAAAACUGGAAGUUUUUUAUGGAAUUUAUUACAAAACUAAGACAGCAUGGUGAGUCUCUCAAAAUAAUUUAUGCCAUACUUUUUGAAUGUUAUUUCUUAAUUUCGAUUUCUUCCAUUCUCAUUUCUCUUAAGUUCUGACACCAGGCCAUGUGGUUUGUUAUUUGUGACACUGACCACAAAUCAGGGAACAGCUCAAAAACCCAGUCGACUUGUUUUCACUGACGUGGCUGAUGCCAUUAAUGCAUGACGACACUCACAUGCUGCACAGAAAGACAGGGACACAGAAAUCUGGACAACUGGACGUCAGGAUUCAGGAAUAUUUGUAUUCAUAUUUGGUACGAUACUGGAUUAAUUGCUGCUUUUGUAGUUAUUAAUUUCUUAAGCAAAAGUUACGACACGAAGUGUUAAAGGAAUAUCUCACUCCAAAAUGAUAAAUAAGAUGAAACUUGACUCACCCUCAGGCCAUCCAAGAUGUCUAGUUUGUUUUUUCAUGGGAACAGAUUUCAAGCCAAAAUCUCCAUCAAGGCUUUUUAACUUUAAAUCGUCACUUUUAGCCAAAAUGUGUCAAAAUGAAUUAUGAAUCCAUAAUUCAUAAUAACACUUCAUCCAGUGAAAAAGUCCAUCCCCUAUCCCCACUGACAUAUUUG